rnacentral:rRNA from 1 species
UGGGGGAUAUUGCGCAAUGGGGGAAACCCUGACGCAGCGACGCCGCGUGAAGGAAGAAGGUCUUCGGAUUGUAAACUUUUGUUCUUGGGGACGAGAAAGGACGGUACCCAAGCAGAAAGCCACGGCUAACUACGUGCCAGCAGCCGCGGUAAUACGUAGGUGGCAAGCGUUGUCCGGAUUUACUGGGUGUAAAGGGCGUGUAGGCGGGCAUGCAAGUUGGAUGUGAAAUGUCACGGCUUAACCGUGGAGCUGCAUCCAAAACUGCAAGUCUUGAGUGCCGGAGAGGAAAGCGGAAUUCCUAGUGUAGCGGUGAAAUGCGUAGAUAUUAGGAGGAACACCGGUGGCGAAGGCGGCUUUCUGGACGGUAACUGACGCUGAGGCGCGAAAGCGUGGGGAGCAAACAGGA